ACGCUGGCGGCAGGCCUAACACAUGCAAGUCGAGCGGUAGAGAGAAGCUUGCUUCUCUUGAGAGCGGCGGACGGGUGAGUAAUGCCUAGGAAUCUGCCUGGUAGUGGGGGAUAACGUUCGGAAACGGACGCUAAUACCGCAUACGUCCUACGGGAGAAAGCAGGGGACCUUAGGGCCUUGCGCUAUCAGAUGAGCCUAGGUCGGAUUAGCUAGUUGGUGGGGUAAUGGCUCACCCAAGGCGACGAUCCGUAACUGGUCUGAGAGGAUGAUCAGUCACACUGGAACUGAGACACGGUCCAGACUCCUACGGGAGGCAGCAGUGGGGAAUAUUGGACAAUGGGCGAAAGCCUGAUCCAGCCAUGCCGCGUGUGUGAAGAAGGUCUUCGGAUUGUAAAGCACUUUAAGUUGGGAGGAAGGGCAGUAAAUUAAUACUUUGCUGUUUUGACGUUACCGACAGAAUAAGCACCGGCUAACUCUGUGCCAGCAGCCGCGGUAAUACAGAGGGUGCAAGCGUUAAUCGGAAUUACUGGGCGUAAAGCGCGCGUAGGUGGUUCGUUAAGUUGGAUGUGAAAUCCCCGGGCUCAACCUGGGAACUGCAUUCAAAACUGACGAGCUAGAGUAUGGUAGAGGGUGGUGGAAUUUCCUGUGUAGCGGUGAAAUGCGUAGAUAUAGGAAGGAACACCAGUGGCGAAGGCGACCACCUGGACUGAUACUGACACUGAGGUGCGAAAGCGUGGGGAGCAAACAGGAUUAGAUACCC
rnacentral:rRNA from 1 species